AUGAAGCUGAAGAAGAUUGAACUCAUGGGUUUAGAGAAACCAGAUUCAGAUCUAAUGUUUCGGGCAAAAGACAAGGAAAUCUGCAAACACAAGCUCAAAACAGGUAUAAUUGACUCAUCACCAAAUUCCCCCAACAGAAUGGCCAGCAGCCCGGCGGCCAAGGACAGCACGGCGAACUUGUUUAUCUCCGUCCCCUUCGACAGAGACAGCAACAGCAACGCGCCCCCGGCAACUUGGUGCAGUGUCUACAGAAAGCAAGCCACGACGAACACUUGUCAGAUCAAGAACCGCAGCGAUGACAAGGAUUAG
rnacentral:rRNA from 1 species